rnacentral:rRNA from 1 species
CCAGACUCCUACGGGAGGCAGCAGUGGGGAAUAUUGCAUAAUGGGGGAAACCCUGAUGCAGCGACGCCGCGUGAAGGAAGAAGUAUUUCGGUAUGUAAACUUCUAUCAGCAGGGAAGAAAGUGACGGUACCUGACUAAGAAGCCCCGGCUAACUACGUGCCAGCAGCCGCGGUAAUACGUAGGGGGCAAGCGUUAUCCGGAUUUACUGGGUGUAAAGGGAGCGUAGGCGGCGAUGCAAGUCAGAAGUGAAAGCCCGGGGCUCAACCCCGGGACUGCAUUUGGAACUGCGUGGCUUGAGUGUCGGAGAGGCAGGCGGAAUUCCUAGUGUAGCGGUGAAAUGCGUAGAUAUUAGGAGGAACACCAGUGGCGAAGGCGGCCUGCUGGACGAUGACUGACGUUGAGGCUCGAAAGCGUGGUGAGCAAACAGGAUUAGAUACCCGAGUAG